CAAGCUUUUCGUAAUUUAAUCGUUACACAACAUAUUUUCCUCAUUUACCAGCCCACUAGUAUCCAUGGGGAUCCAUAGGGGUCCCGCUACCCGUUAACCCUUAACACUUGAAAUCAUAUUCCAGGGCUGUCCCCAUACCCCGUCCGGUAUGGGCGCCAAACCAUAGACCUCAUUACCCCGUUCGGUAUGAGGGUGAAACGGGCCGUCCCCAUACCCCGUCCGGUAUGGGCGCCAAAACACAUAAGAUCUCCAUACCCCGUCCGGUAUGGGAGACCACAAUCCCGGUAGGGUUCC
rnacentral:lncRNA from 1 species